AGUGAACGCUGGCGGUAGGCCUAACACAUGCAAGUCGAACGGCGGCACAGUAAGAGCUUGCUCUUACGGGUGGCGAGUGGCGGACGGGUGAGGAAUACAUCGGAAUCUACUUUUUCGUGGGGGAUAACGUAGGGAAACUUACGCUAAUACCGCAUACGACCUACGGGUGAAAGCAGGGGAUCUUCGGACCUUGCGCGAUUGAAUGAGCCGAUGUCGGAUUAGCUAGUUGGCGGGGUAAAGGCCCACCAAGGCGACGAUCCGUAGCUGGUCUGAGAGGAUGAUCAGCCACACUGGAACUGAGACACGGUCCAGACUCCUACGGGAGGCAGCAGUGGGGAAUAUUGGACAAUGGGCGCAAGCCUGAUCCAGCCAUACCGCGUGGGUGAAGAAGGCCUUCGGGUUGUAAAGCCCUUUUGUUGGGAAAGAAAAGCAGCAGGUUAAUACCCCGCUGUUCUGACGGUACCCGAAGAAUAAGCACCGGCUAACUUCGUG
rnacentral:rRNA from 1 species